AUGUUGUGGUUGAACAUUUUGUCUGCUUUUCAAGUGUCAUCAUUAGUAACCUGCGUUUACACACAUCACGAACACACACGCGUGCACACACACAUGCGGACACAGACACACGCGCACUUGGCGUGUCAUCUAACCCUGUUGUUAGUUGCUAAUAAAGCUCCUCUCUGGCCAGUUGAUUACUGGGAGACAUCCUCCUCCCUGGGAGACAUCCUCCUCUCUGGGAGACAUCCUCCUCUCUGGGAGACAUCCUCCUCUCUGGGAGACAUCCUCCUCUCUGAGAGACAUCCUCCUCUCUGGCCAGUUGAAUACUGAGAGACAUCCUCUUCUCUGGCCAGUUGAAUACUGAGAGACAUCCUCCUCUCUGGCCAGUUGAAUACUGGGAGACAACUCUCUUUUUUAUGUCUCUCUCUCUCUGCUCAAACAAAAAAACAACAGGCUCUCAAUUUCCUGUAAAAUUCUGAUGUCGGACUCGUCUUUCUCUCUCUGUGUUCCGUGUCCCUCUAUUUUAUUUAUUUUAUUUCACCUUUAUUUAACCAGGUAGGCAAGUUGAGAACAAGUUCUCAUUUACAAUUGCGACCUGGCCAAGAUAAAGCAAGCAGUUUGAUACAUACAACAACACAGAGUUACACAUGGAGUAAAACAAACAUACAGUCAAUAAUAUAAUAGAAAAAUAAGUCGAUAUACAAAGUGAGCAAAUGAGGUGAGAUAAGGGAGGUAAAGGCAAAAAAGGCCAUGGUGGCGAAGUAAAUACAAUAUAGCAAGUUAAACACUGGAAUGGUAGAUUUGCAGUGGAAGAAAGUGCAAAGUAGAAAUAGAAAUAAUGGGGUGCAAAGGAGCAAAAUAAAUAAAUAAAUACAGUAGGGGAAGAGGUAGUUGUUUAGGCUAAAUUAUAGAUGGGCUAUGUACAGGUGCAGUAAUCUGUGUGCUGCUCUGACAGCUGGUGCUUAAAGCUAGUGAGGGAGAUAAGUGUUUCCAGUUUUAGAGAUUUCUGUAGUUUGUUCCAGUCAUUGGCAACAGAGAACUGGAAGGAGAGGCGGCUGAAGGAGGAAUUGGCUUUGGGGGUGACCAGAAAGAUAUUCCUGCUGGAGCGCGUGCUACAGGUGGGUGCUGCUAUGGUGACCAGUGAGCGGAGAUAAGGGGGGACUUUACCUAGCAGGGUCUUGUAGAUGACAUGGAGCCAAUGGGUUUGGCGACAAGUAUGAAGCCAGGGCCAGCCAACGAGAGCAUACAGGUCGCAGUGGUGGGUAGUAUAUGGGGCUUUGGUGACAAAACGGAUGGCACUGUGAUAGACUGCAUUCAAUUUAUUGAGUAGGGUAUUGGAGGCUAUUUUGUAAAUGCCAUCGCCGAAGUCGAGGAUCGGUAGGAUGGUCAGUUUUACGAGGGUAUGUUUGGCAGCAUGAGUGAAGGAUGCUUUGUUGCGAAAUAGGAAGCCAAUUCUAGAUUUAACUUUGGAUUGGAGAUGUUUGAUGUGAGUCUGGAAGGAGAGUUUACAGUCUAACCAGACACCUAGGUAUUUGUAGUUGUCCACAUAUUCUAAGUCAGAACUGUCCAGAGUAGUGAUGCUGGACGGGCGGGCAGGUGCAGGCAGCGAUCGGUUGAAGAGCAUGCAUUUAGUUUUACUUGUAUUUAAGAGCAGUUGGAGGCCACGGAAGGAGAGUUGUAUGGCAUUGAAGCUCGUCUGGAGGUUAGUUAACACAGUGUCUAAAGAAGGGCCAGAAGUAUACAGAAUGGUGUCGUCUGCGUAGAGGUGGAUCAGAGACUCACCAGCAGCAAGAGCGACAUCAUUGAUGUAUACAGAGAAAAGACAGUUAACACAGAGCCUCCAUUGACCACCCCAAUAACCUCUGGAUUUGUUAACAUAGGAGCCCACACUAUAGAUGUCAGCAGAGGAAGAAAUGUGAGGCAUUCUCCCUCCAUCAUUGUGGCCUUUAGAUAGACCCACUGUUGUUGACCCAGAGAGAGAGACAUAUUAGAGACACAUAUUUCCCUCAGAUUACACAGAUCUACAAAGAAUUUGGAAACAAACCCAAAUUUGAUAAAAUCCCAUAUCUACUGGGGGAAAUACCACAGUGUGCCAUCACAGCAGCAAGAUUUGUGACCUGUUGCCACAAGAAAAGGGCAACCAGUGAAGAACAAACACCAUUGUAAAUACAACCCAUAUUUAUGCUUAUUUAUUUUCCCUUUUGUACUUUCACUUUUUGCACAUUGUUACAACACUGUAUAUAUACAUAAUAUGACAUUUGAAUGUCUUUAUUCUUUUGGAAGUUCUUUGAGUGUAAUGUUUACUGUACAUUUUUUAUUGUUUAUUUCACUUUAAUUUAUUAUCUAUUUCACUUGUUUUGACAAUGUUAACAUGUGUUUCCCAUGCCAAUAAAGCCCUUGCAUUUAAAUGAAUUGAGAGAGCAUAGGGAAAUGGGACUUGCAGAGUGAACCUUUAAUAGCCUUUCUGUUCUAUUAGCCAGGUAAAUAAUGAGGUUGUUUUUUAUACAGUAUCUCUCUUUAUUUGGCCCCUGAACCAAAUCUGAAGCUGAGUCAUCUGAGAGGGUCAGCAUGGGAUAGCAAGAAGUCUUCUGUCUCAGAUUAUAAUUAUUACACCAUCUGAUCUGUUCAUCUGAACAUUUUAUUUAUUUAUACAUUCAAAGGUGUGUGUGUGUGUGCGUGUGUGUGUGCAUGUGCGUGUGUGUGUGUGCUGUAUAAAACAGUAUAAACAGCCCAAGGUAAAUGGCCUCAAACAGGGUUUAAUAACCAAAGAUAUGCUAGAGUACAUGGGAUGGGGUAAUGUGUGUGUGUGUGUUUACGUGUGUGUGAGACACUUGGCCCCUGCCAUAAAGUGAGCCCAGUUAGAUAUGUCCUCUAUUGUGUGUAUUCUCUUUCUCUCUCUCCCCCUCUCCCUCUCUCUCUCUCUCUCUCUCUCCUUCUCUGUCUCUCUCUCUCUGUCUCUCCCCCUCUCUCUCUCUCUCUCUCUCAGCAGUCUCCCAUAGCUCCGGGAUGUGUUUGUUUGUCUGUAAGGGUACACUACAGAUUUUUAAAUGCCGAAACGAAACCUUCUCUGGAGAUACUGUAGUUCCGAAGGGCCACUGAACAGGCAUUUUACUUGUCUGUAAGGAAGGCGGGACUAACUUCCAUCACUAGGUGACCAGAACUGUCAAUCAGCCCUCUCUCUUAAAAAGGUACUUUAAAGUAGGUUAAAUACUGUGACUUACCAUGACAUUUUCCGCUAGGAAUCGACUCCUAAGAUUCUGUAUUUUUGGAACGGAUAAGACUGAUUAGUUGCGGUACUUCUGAGAACACAAACACUUGCAUCUUUCAUAGCGGGUUAGUGAGGGACGGAGAGAGAGGGGAGGGUCAAUGUAUAGGCAGGUCGGCCACCACGCAAAAGGAGUCAGAACCUUGCACUAGGGCUAUCUAUCGGUAAUCAAAAGCUGUAUCUCACAAUUUCUUGUCUUGCAAUGUCUCACAACUUCUAGUAAAUCAGGGCCUAUCAUCAAUGAAUAGGCUAGGAUAUUCUACACGCAACAGGCCGAAGACUGAACAUGCAGUCGCAUCAUUAGAGAAGAGCAGGUGAGCCAGGUGCACUGUGAUUUUAAUUUUGUGGGGGGUAAAAACAAAACAUUGUUUUUCUGUUAGGGAUUUUUCUUAACGUUAAGGAUCCCUAGCUCUAUGCAUAUCUUUAGCGUCUUUGGACAGUUUUUGUGUGUCUGUCUGUACACAUUGUGUUUUUGCCUCUUGUUGUGUGUGUCUCUGGCUGGAGCAGAAGGAUCAGUCAGUCAAGAGCGAGUGUUUAUCUGUCUGGGUGCACGUGGGUGUGUCUGUCGUGCGUAUCUCUUCUUAUUGUAUGUGAGCGGGGUUGCGUAGGCUGUUGUUAGGUUAGCAUAUGGUUUAAUCAUAUGUGAGGAGGGUUAUUAGCAUGUUACUGGUGGAAAGGGGAGGGGAUAUUUAUUGGUUGGGUAAGGGUGAUUGGUUAAGGAUAAGCGGAGAUGAGAACGGGAGUAGACAGACGGCAGGGGAAAUGCCGGACGAGGUGAGGUCAAUAAUCCAAGAUGCUACGAGGGGAUAUCUACCCACCCCCAUCACCGCCCAUCUCAUUCACCCUCCAAUCUCCUUAAACAAGAAAGUACUGCUUUCUCUACCCCCCACCCCUGUCCCGCUUCCUGUCCCCCUCUCCUCUUGCUGCUCUCUGUGACCCCCAGCCUACUCAAAACGCUGUUAGGGAUAUUUAACAUGCCCCGGAGACCUCUCUGCUCUCGAAGAUACACCUCCCACACACACACACCCUCGCUCCCUCUACACACACACACACACACACACACACACACACACACACACACACACACACACACACACACACACACACACACACACACACACACACACACACAUCCACCCUAAUUGCCCCCUCCUCGCACAUGCACACAGGCUCCUGAUCACGCACGGAUGCAAAUCAAAAUCAAAUAACAUUUUAUUGGUCGCAUA
rnacentral:lncRNA from 8 species